rnacentral:rRNA from 1 species
UACGUAGGGUGCAAGCGUUAAUCGGAAUUACUGGGCGUAAAGCGUGCGCAGGCGGUUUUGUAAGUCUGUCGUGAAAUCCCCCGGGCUCAACCUGGGAAUGGCGAUGGAGACUGCAAGGCUAGAAUCUGGCAGAGGGGGGUAGAAUUCCACGUGUAGCAGUGAAAUGCGUAGAGAUGUGGAGGAACACCGAUGGCGAAGGCAGCCCCCUGGGUCAAGAUUGA